rnacentral:rRNA from 1 species
UGGGGAAUAUUGGACAAUGGGGGGAACCCUGAUCCAGCCAUGCCGCGUAUGUGAAGAAGGCCUUAUGGUUGUAAAGCACUUUAAGUUGGGAGGAAGGGCAGUAAGCGAAUACCUUGCUGUUUUGACGUUACCGACAGAAUAAGCACCGGCUAACUCUGUGCCAGCAGCCGCGGUAAUACAGAGGGUGCAAGCGUUAAUCGGAAUUACUGGGCGUAAAGCGCGCGUAGGUGGUUCGUUAAGUUGAAUGUGAAAGCCCCGGGCUCAACCUGGGAACUGCAUCCAAAACUGGCGAGCUAGAGUAGGGCAGAGGGUGGUGGAAUUUCCUGUGUAGCGGUGAAAUGCGUAGAUAUAGGAAGGAACACCAGUGGCGAAGGCGACCACCUGGGCUCAUACUGACACUGAGGUGCGAAAGCGUGGGGAGCAAACAGG